GUGCAUGUCCCAGACUAAGCUUUUCAUAGCGAAUCUGUGAAUGGCUCAUUAUAACAGUUAUAAUGUUAUUGGCUAUCUCUGUUACAUGGAUACCUGUGGUAAUUCUAUAGCUAAUACAUGCUUGCAGACCCAACUUAUUGGAAGAGUUGUUCUUGCUAGUUCUAGAACUAAUCCUGGCUUGCCCAGGGAUUUUGGUGAAUGACAACAAGACAAUGAAUCACAUAGCUUCUGCUGGUGAUACAUCUUUUCAAUUUCUGACCUAUCAGCUUUUGAUGGGAAGGUAUUGGCUUCCUGUGGCAAUGACGGGUGACGGAGAAUUAGGGUUUGAUUCCGGAGAGGGAGCCUGAGGAAUGGCUACCACAUCUAAGGAAGGCAGCAGGCGCGCAAAUUACCCAAUCUUGACAUAAGGAGGUAGUGACAACAAAUAACAAUACAGGGCAUCCAUGUCUUGUAAUUGGAAUGGGCUUAAGCCAAUCAUUUUUGCGAGAACCCAUUGGAGGGCAAGUCUGGUGCCAGCAGCCGCGGUAAUUCCAGCUCCAAUAGUGUAUAUUAAAGUUGUUGCGGUUAAAAAGCUCGUAGUUGAAUUACUGCUGGGGACAACUGGUACGCCUUCUGGGUAAGUAUUAGUGUGUCUCGGGCAUAUUCUUGGGUAUCGCUUCUGCACUUGACUGUGUGGUGUGCUCUCCAGGGUUGUUACUUUGAGGAAAUCAGAGUGCUUCCAGCAGGCAAUUGUUUUGAAUACAUUAGCAUGGAAUAAUAAGAUGAGACUUCAAAUUAUUUUUGUUGGUUUCAAUGAUGAAGUAACGAUUGAAAGGGAUAGUUAGGGGUAUGUGUAUUCAAUUGUCAGAGGUGAAAUUCUUGGAUUUAUUAAAGACAAACAAAUGCGAAAGCAUUUGCCAAGGAUGUUUUUUUUGAUCAAGAGCGAAAGUUAGGGGAUCGAAGACGAUCAGAUACCGUCCUAGUCUUAACCAUAAACUAUGCCAGCCAGGAAUUGGAGGUUGUUACAUGUAAGACACCUUCAGCACCUUCUGAGAAAUCAAAGUUUUUGGGUUCCGGGGGGAGUAUGGUCGCAAGAUUGAAACUUAAAGGAAUUGACGGAAGGGCACCACCAGGAGUGGAGCCUGCGGCUUAAUUUGACUCAACACGGGGAAACUUACCAGGUCCAGACAUAGUAAGGAUUGACAGAUUGAUAGCUCUUUCUUGAUUCUAUGGGUGGUGGUGCAUGGCCGUUCUUAGUUGGUGGAGUGAUUUGUCUGGUUAAUUCCGUUAACGAACGAGACCUUAACUUACUAAAUAGUUAUACAUAAAUCUUUUUAUGUGGGCAACUUCUUAGAGGGACUUUGUGUGUCUAACACAAGGAAGUUUGAGGCAAUAACAGGUCUGUGAUGCCCUUAGAUGUUUUGGGCUGCACGCGCGCUACACUGAUGCACUCAACAAGUGUAGCUUUGCUUGGCAAGGCAGGGUAAUCUUUGAAGAUGUGUCGUGAUGGGGAUUGUUUAUUGCAAUUAUUAAUCUUAAACGAGGAAUUCCUAGUAAACUUGAAUCAUCAGCUCAUGUUGAUUACGUCCCUGCCCUUUGUACACACCGCCCGUCGCUCCUACCGAUUGAAUGAUCCGGUGAAUAAUUUGGACUGCUGUGUUCAUCAGUACGCUGGAAGAUCAGUGGAAAAUCUUAUAAGCCUUAUCAUUUAGAGGAAGGAGAAGUCGUAACAAGGUUUCCGUAGGUGAACCUGCGGAAGGAUCAUUUGCAUGAAUAAAUCAAUUGUUGUAUUCUGCAAGUCUUUGCCAUGACUCUGUUGCUUUGAACUUGGUCAUGGAUGGCUGUCUGUGUUCUUUGUUAAUUUAUUCUGCUCCUUAGCCAUUCAUUGAAAUUGUUACAUUCAGCAAUGGAUGCCUUUACUCAAGCACUGUUGAAGGCUGCUGUUAACUGUGGUAAUCAAAAUGACUUGCAGCAUUCCGUGAUUCAAUUGAAUGUCGAACAUAACUUAUGCUGUAGGGGUCUCCCUUGCAAGCAUAUCUUCAACAUGAGUCAAAUGUUGUGCACAGGCUUUGCUUGUGCUGAUGGUGCAUUGAAGUUUAUCUUCUGAUGAACCUGGAACUGCCUGAUGCAUUGCAGCUGUUUGGAAGUUCUUCCAUCUGUUCGUGCACUCAGCAUGCCCUGAUUCUUUCUGUUUAUGAUGUAGGUAAAUGAACUCAUUGAAUUUAAGCAUAUAAGUAAGUGGAGGAAAGCAAACUAUAAAUGAUUCCUUUGGUAAUGGCGAAUGAAGAAGGAUAAGCUCCAUUGGUAAUCUGCACUUCAUGUGUAGACUUGUAUUUUUAAAAAGCAAUGCUAUUGGAAGUGUGUAUGUAAGACAUGUGGGAAAAUGUUGCAAAGAAGGUGAAACUCUUGUGUGUCAUGCGCAAGCUUUCAUGCAAAGCAUGCUUUUGAAAAUCGCAUUCUUUGGAAUUGGAAUGCAAAGUAGGUGGUAAAGUUCACUUGAAGCUAAAUAAAUGUUUGAGCUUGAUAGUGUAUAAGUACCAUGAGGGAACUGUGAAAAGAACUUUGGAAAGAAAGUUAAAAGUAUUUGAAAUUGCUGGUGGGAAAGCAAAUGGUAUGAUACUGUGCAGUAAGAUUGCAGCUUGCAAGCAAUAGGCAUUCUGUAUGCAAUGCGUGUAGAAUUGUCUGUUGCAAGCACACUGUGCAUCUUGCUGUGCAUGCCAACAUUGAAAUGCAUGUCAAUGCUAACUGCAUGGGUAACUUGCAUAGUGUGUGCUAGAGCCAUGCCUUGAUAUAGCAUGCAUUUUCUUUUCAGUUGUUACCUGGUCUGGACUUCUUCAAGGAUAGACCUGGUUCAAUGCAUGCAUGUGAUUAUUCAUUUGGCCCGUCUUGAAACACGGAUCAAGGAGUCUAACACAUGUGCAAGCCUGUUGGUAAUUCGUUGGGGUGUAAGGAAAGUGACAGCUAGGAUGUGUGCACUGUCAGCCAACUGACCAAUUGUGAGAGGUUUGUGUUUGAGCAUUUGUAUUAGGACCCGAAAGAUGGUGAACUAUGCUUGAAUAAUGCAAAUUCAGGAGAAAUUCUGAAGGAAGCUUGCAGCGGUACUGACGUGCAAAUCGUUCGUCAAAUUUGAGUAUAGGGGCGAAAGACUAAUCGAACCAUCUAGUAGCUGGUUCCUCUUGAAGUUUCCCUCAGGAUAGCUGGAAUUGUAAAGUUUUAUCAGGUAAAGCGAAUGAUUGGAGGAAUUGGGGGUGUGUCGUCCUCAACCUAUUCUCAAACUUUAAAUGGGUAAGGUGUAUUAGUUAUUUUGUAAACUUUUAGGUGCAAUUGAAUUCUAUGUGGGCCAUUUUUGGUAAGCAGAAUUGGCGAUGAGGGAUGAACCUAAUGUUGGGUUAAAGUGCUUAAGUGCUCGCUCAUCAGAUAUCAUAAAAGGUGUUGGUUCAUUAUAACAGCAGGACGGUGGUCAUGGAAGUUGAAACCCGCUAAGGAAUGUGUAACAACUCACCUGCCGAAUGGACUAGCCCUGAAAAUGGAUGGCGCUCAAGCGGGU
rnacentral:rRNA from 1 species